rnacentral:rRNA from 1 species
UACGUAGGGUGCGAGCGUUAAUCGGAAUUACUGGGCGUAAAGCGUGCGCAGGCGGUUCGUUGUGUCGGCGGUGAAAGCCCUGGGCUUAACCUGGGAAUGGCCGUUGAAACUGGCGAACUGGAGUGUGGCAGAGGGGGGUGGAAUUCCGCGUGUAGCAGUGAAAUGCGUAGAGAUGCGGAGGAACACCGAUGGCGAAGGCAGCCCCCUGGGCUAACACUGACGCUCAGGCACGAAAGCGUGGGGAGCAAACAGG